GAAUCUCCCAAGCAGAAUGUUAAAUUCAAGAAGCAUAACACAGGAAACAUUUGCACAUAAUCUGAUUUUAUUACAUGAAGUUCACAAAACAGGCAAAACUAAAUUACAUUUAGAUAUGCAUACCUAAACAUGGUUGGUAAUACCUAAAAAAUUCCCAAGGAAAAGACUAUAACAAAAGUCAAGAUAGCAGUUAUCUCCAUGAGGACGGGAGAAGGAUGGGGUUUUUAAGGGAAAACGAGUGAUCUCUAAAAUAAUAACAAUACUCUUAAACUGCUUAGUUGUUACACUCAUGUAUAGACUCUAGAUAUUUUAGACAAUUAUUCAUAUGGAUUUUAUAUUUCAUAAUCAUUUAAUAAGUAAAUACAUAUUGUGUCAGCUUUGAAUUAAAAAACUGAAAUCCUCAGAUUAAGUAGAUUAAUUUUUUUCUUUGAGUUAUUUGCAAAUUCAAUAUUAAAGUUUAUUAAGCCCUUUUGCAUUCUANNNNNNNNNNNNNNNNNNNNNNNNNNNNNNNNNNUAUAUUUUGGUACAUAUACAUGCAUUCCUAUACAAAAAACAAAUUUUUCCUUGUUGCUUACAAAGACCUUCCAUUUUUUUAAUAUGUGAUUUUUACUGUAGCCCUUUAUUGAUGAUACUGUAUCAAUUUCAAAAAGCUACCAUCCAGAGAUUUUAAAUAGUAUGUCUGCAAACAGCAGACAUGUUAAAAGAUAAUUAAAACCCAUACUUUUGAAAUUAAAUUCAUUAAUCAUUUUACCACAGUUAAGUAAAACCAAAAGUUUCCAUAGAUAAUUGACCACAUCUUUGCAAUUAAAUCUUCUAAUAUAUAAAAACAAACCCCUUGCACAACUUAUGUCUUUCUCUGUUCACAUUUAUUAGUCAGGUUUGUUCAAUAAAUAUACCCUUGAUUUGUUUGCCAGAGAUCUAAUAAAAUUGUGUCAGAUUGUUACAGUCACAUCUCAUGGUGACUCAGAUCUCCCCAUCUCUACGACUUCGCAUAUUUGACUUUGGGCUAUUGGCUUUGGGCUUGGCCUUUGCCUUCUCUUGUCAGUGUGGCAUCAGCAAAUAUGAUGCAAGUAGAAGCUUAUAGAAGUGCCUGUGCACUUGCCUUGCAUUGAAUCAGAUCUGAAAACAACCUUUGAAGAAGUUCAGUCUAGACCGAUAGAGCAGAAGAAACCACAGAGAGCAGAGAGGAACCAGGCCAGAUGAUGUGUUUUGGACCUGACAGCCUCCAGACCGAAAAAAUCACCACAUGAGGAAGUGGGGCCACCCCAGGAUACUCAGACCUAGCUGAUCUGGUAGAAAACUGAAAACCACAUUAAUGAAUAGGCAUACUGGAAGAAUCAGACAGCUGAGCCCAGCUCAUAAUGCUCAUUCAUUCACAGAAUCAUUAAUAAGCAAACACCAAAUCUUUCUUUAAGCCUCUAAAUUUUGGGAAGGUUUUUUAUGUACCACAUGUAAUUGAUAUAAGUAUUUUUUCAUCAGGAAUAUAAAUUGGACAGGUAUUUAUUAGUGAUAUAAAUAAUCA
rnacentral:lncRNA from 1 species